GAGAGAGAGCUUGGAGUAGGAUUCUGCAGGCUUUCUUACAGCAGCCCUGCAUCCCUUAGGAACUCUAAAGGAGGAGGGCAAGCUUUGUUUCCUAACAACAAAUACCAAGUCAGUAAUUGCUCCAAGAGGUAAUACACCUCCACCUUC